rnacentral:lncRNA from 12 species
GGAAAUAUGUCUUCUGUUGCUUUAGCUUCCUUUAGGCAUUCUGAAUGAGUGGGAAAUCAACAGAGGUUUAAAGAAGCUCUUUUUCUUGUUUCAGCGGGAGCUGAGAGUGCAGCAGAUGCCAAGGGCUGAAGUCCGAAUGCAUGACUUUUGUGAGGGACUCUAAUCUGCACACAUGACACAGCUCUUCUCGUCUUUGCAUUAACUGUCAUGAGAGUGCGCCCGGAGCAAUAAUGCCAGUCUUCAGUGAAAUGCAAAUGCAAAAAGAUGCAAGCUCUGGAUGGAGAGAUGACUACGGCUUGGAUGAUGGCUGCUUCCUAUUUAUGGACAAAUGCCACGUUCAUACAGUAUGCAGUGUCUUGGUGCUCACACAGAGCUCUUGGGAGAUUUUGUUGCGAGGAACGAGGGAAAUGGUAACCAUAACAACAGAAGUCAACGAUAUCGCUGGAAAUGAAGUGUCCCCAACUAAGCAAGCCAGAGGUGACAGCGGCAAGGAACCAAAACUCCAUGGGUGACAGAAUGGAGAAAAAACCUUGGGUGUAACCAGGCUCAGUCGGGGGGCCACUUCUCCUCUGGCCAGACGAAACCAGCAGUUCAAUUCCAGGCUGCAGCAAAGUCUCAUUGUGCAGAGGACUCAAUCUUAACCUUUUGUUCUUAACUGGUUGCAUACUUUUUGCCACACUCUAAGUGUAAAACAUCUGGUGAUGCUGCCUAAAAAUGUGAAACAAACCUUGAAAAGACAUCUUUUUAAUUUGUUUUAAAUUAAUUCUUAGUUUCCUUUAACAUUUUGUAUACUCUAAUAUAGNAUUUAUUUUAUGUUUUCACCCUGAUCUAUUCUGCCGAGGGGUUUUAUGGUAUGUCUCAUGUGAGCAUUGCAUAAAGCAUCAAUAAUAGGAGUUCUUUUGAAGAGGCAGACGGCAGCUGCUGUCAUCGCUGGGCGUCCUGCCUGCUCCUGUCGCUCAUGAAGGGGUUAAACCCUUCUGUGCAUCACAGACGGUUGAGUCAUCCCUUCAUCAUGUCAGGGGAAGGGAAAUCUUGCUCUAAACAAGACUAAAGUCUGUCUGUUGCACCUCUUGUAGCAGUAAAUAAAGUGGCCACUCAUGCACAGCAUGUCUCUGCACGUGUCUACCUGCUGAAAUGCCUUUUACAUCCAACAUGAAUAAAAACUGACUCAAGAUAUUUUGUUAAUAUGGUCAAAAAGUAUUUUGAUGGAAAAAAAAACAUUACUUUUCUGAUGAUGUCUAAUUUACUGUGUGGGC